AAUCCCUAUCAGUGGCUGAAUAAGCAAGGACACAAGCAUGAGCGCCGCGAUAAUAAGCGGCUGUGAUAGCGUCAAAUUCCUCCUGUCCUGCGGUAUCCCACAGCAUUAAUCUCACAUCCUCGCCGUCAACUCUGUACAUGAAUGCAAAAAGUGAUUGGUAUGAUGGAGAUAUUAAAAGAUUGAUCGCACACAUACACAUGCAACGAAAUAAAAAUUUCCUUCUACAUUGACCGACAUUACAUCGUUGAAUAUUCGGAGGGGGAUGCGAGAAGUAUCCCACGGUAGUUCGCGCUGUCAUGAUUAAAAUCGGGUUUUUCUCAGGCGCGUCGCGUCUCGAAUCCGUAUACAUAUUGACGAUUGAUGAGGAAUGUGACCCAAAUAAUUUCACCAAAUACGAUCGUCUAUACAGCAUGUCGCAUAAGGGAAGUGGGUUAAUACGUGGAUAAAGAUGUAAACCUAUAAAAAAAACCGGUCGCCGAAAGCAAUCUCCUGACUUCUGCGAGCACGUGAUUUAGGGCUUAAAAUUCAAAAUGACAUAUAUGGCCCGCGUCAUACGAGACAGAGUAUCUCAGGAAUUCUCAUAGAUUUUAAAAAUUCAAUUCCAGUCUUUCCUUGCGAGAUCGUCUUUAAAUUAUUCGAGGGAUUCGUAUAUCGAAGGUCAUCUUGUCGAAAGUCUACUACACCUAUUCGCCGAAAGUUAUUCGAGUGAAACAAAUUACUCAUCAUUAGACGAGGACCGAACGUUUUAAGAGAAGGUAAAAAACGCAGCGCGAUCGGCGAACUUGUGGCCUCGCCGUGGAAUCAAGUAAUAACUCUUCAUAAUGCAAUGACAUGCUAUAUAACGAAAAACCGCUUUCCUCGCCGAUGGAAAAUCACGAUGAAUUAUAUAAAAAUGCGUCCAUUCCUUUUUUAAGAAUUUACGCCAGCCUCCUCUCGUUACACUUUCUGCACAUGGAAUAAAAUAGAAAUAUGUAGGCUGGUGGAUUCAAAAGUGGGAAAAGAACGAAGAGUAAUAGAAAGAAGAAAUGCAAUGAAGAGAGCGAUAUGGCUGAAAACUGAAAGGAAAUACAACAGACCACGGUUGAGUCCCGC